rnacentral:rRNA from 1 species
UACGGGGGGGGCAAGCGUUGUUCGGAAUUACUGGGCGUAAAGGGUUUGUAGGUGGCUUGCUAAGUCAGACGUGAAAUCCCUCAGCUUAACUGGGGAACUGCGUCUGAGACUGGCAAGCUUGAGUGCAGGAGAGGAACGCGGAAUUCCAGGUGUAGCGGUGAAAUGCGUAGAUAUCUGGAGGAACACCGGUGGCGAAGGCGGCGUUCUGGACUGCAACUGACACUGAGGAACGAAAGCCAGGGGAGCAAGCGGG